rnacentral:tRNA from 1 species
UCUAGGAUAGCCCAGUUGGUAAAGAAUCUGCCUGCAAUGCAGAAGACCCCAGUUCAAUUCCUGGGUCUGGAA